rnacentral:rRNA from 1 species
AUGAAUAUUCUGGCCUGGAACUGUCGAGGACUGGGGUUGGACUCGACAGUGGGCGAACUACGAGACCUGAUACGGUCCUACAACCCAGCGGUGGUGUUUUUGAGUGAGACGAAGAAGAAGGCAAGGGCGAUGGAAAGGCUAAAGUGGAGUUUGGGCUUCACCAGUGGCGUUGCGGUAGAUUGUGUAGGCCGAAGUGGUGGAUUGGCGCUAUGGUGGAGAGAUCAUAUUCAUGUCAAUGUGAGGCCAUGG